AGAUUGAACGCUGGCGGCAGGCCUAACACAUGCAAGUCGAGCGGUAGAGAGGUGCUUGCACCUCUUGAGAGCGGCGGACGGGUGAGUAAAGCCUAGGAAUCUGCCUGGUAGUGGGGGGAUAACGCUCGGAAACGGACGCUAAUACCGCAUACGUCCUACGGGAGAAAGCAGGGGACCUUCGGGCCUUGCGCUAUCAGAUGAGCCUAGGUCGGAUUAGCUAGUUGGUGAGGUAAUGGCUCACCAAGGCGACGAUCCGUAACUGGUCUGAGAGGAUGAUCAGUCAACGACUAGGAACUGGAGACAACGGUCCAGACUCCGUAAGGGAGGCAGCAAGGUGGGGAAUAGUUGGAACAAGUGGGACGAAAGCCCGUAGACUCCAGCCAAUCGCCGUCGUGUGUAGAAG
rnacentral:rRNA from 1 species